AUUGAACGCUGGCGGCAGGCUUAACACAUGCAAGUCGAGCGGGGUGAUGGUGCUUGCACUAUCACUUAGCGGCGGACGGGUGAGUAAUGCUUAGGAAUCUGCCUAUUAGUGGGGGACAACAUUUCGAAAGGAAUGCUAAUACCGCAUACGUCCUACGGGAGAAAGCAGGGGAUCUUCGGACCUUGCGCUAAUAGAUGAGCCUAAGGCGGAUUAGCUAGUUGGUGGGGUAAAGGCCUACCAAGGCGACGAUCUGUAGCGGGUCUGAGAGGAUGAUCCGCCACACUGGGACUGAGACACGGCCCAGACUCCUACGGGAGGCAGCAGUGGGGAAUAUUGGACAAUGGGCGGAAGCCUGAUCCAGCCAUGCCGCGUGUGUGAAGAAGGCCUUAUGGUUGUAAAGCACUUUAAGCGAGGAGGAGGCUACUUUAGUUAAUACCUAGAGAUAGUGGACGUUACUCGCAGAAUAAGCACCGGCUAACUCUGUGCCAGCCGCCGCAGUAAGAC
rnacentral:rRNA from 1 species